rnacentral:rRNA from 1 species
ACUCAAAGGAAUAGACGGGGCCCCGCACAAGCGGCGGAGCGUGUGGUUUAAUUCGAUGCUACACGAAGAACCUUACCCAGGCUUGACAUGCGCAUGGUAGGGAAGGGAAACCGGACCGACCCGCAAGGGAGUGCGCACAGGUGCUGCAUGGCUGUCGUCAGCUCGUGCCGUGAGGUGUUAGGUUAAGUCCUGUAACGAGCGCAACCCGCGUCGUCAGUUACAAGUGUCUGACGAGACUGCCGGUUUGAAGCCGGAGGAAGGUGCGGACGACGUCAAGUCAGCAUGGCCUUGAUGUCUGGGGCGACACACACGCUACAAUGGGCAGUACAAAGGGAUGCCAAGUCGUGAGAUGGAGCCAAUCUCAGAAAGCUGUUCCCAGUUCGGAUUGUAGGCUGCAACCCGCCUGCAUGAAGCUGGAGUCGCUAGUAACCGCGCGUCAGCCAUAGUGCGGUGAAUACGUUCCCGGGGCUUGUACACACCGCCCGU